rnacentral:rRNA from 1 species
AGAGUUUGAUCCUGGCUCAGGACGAACGCUGGCGGCGUGCCUAAUACAUGCAAGUCGAGCGAGCCGAACUAAUUGAUUACCUUCGGGUAUGAAGUUAGGGAAGCGAGCGGCGGAUGGGUGAGUAACACGUGGGUAACCUACCCUAUAGUCUGGGAUACCACUUGGAAACAGGUGCUAAUACCGGAUAAAAGGAGAGAUCACAUGAUUUCUUUUUGAAAGGCGGCGUAAGCUGUCGCUAAAGGAUGGACCCGCGGUGCAUUAGCUAGUUGGUAAGGUAACGGCUUACCAAGGCAACGAUGCAUAGCCGAGUUGAGAGACUGAUCGGCCACAUUGGGACUGAGACACGGCCCAAACUCCUACGGGAGGCAGCAGUAGGGAAUCUUCCACAAUGGACGCAAGUCUGAUGGAGCAACGCCGCGUGAGUGAAGAAGGUUUUCGGAUCGUAAAGCUCUGUUGUUGGUGAAGAAAGAUAGUGAGAGUAACUGCUCAUUAUUUGCCGGUAAUCAACCAGAAAGUCACGGCUAACUACGUGCCAGCAGCCGCGGUAAUACGUAGGUGGCAAGCGUUGUCCGGAUUUAUUGGGCGUAAAGCGAGCGCAGGCGGAAAGAUAAGUCAGAUGUGAAAGCCCUCGGCUUAACCGAGGAAUAGCAUCGGAAACUGUCUUUCUUGAGUGCAGAAGAGGAGAGUGGAACUCCAUGUGUAGCGGUGGAAUGCGUAGAUAUAUGGAAGAACACCAGUGGCGAAGGCGGCUCUCUGGUCUGUAACUGACGCUGAGGCUCGAAAGCAUGGGUAGCGAACAGGAUUAGAUACCCUGGUAGUCCAUGCUGUAAACGAUGAGUGCUAAGUGUUGGGAGGUUUCCGCCUCUCAGUGCUGCAGCUAACGCAUUAAGCACUCCGCCUGGGGAGUACGACCGCAAGGUUAAAACUCAAAGGAAUUGACGGGGGCCCGCACAAGCGGUGGAGCAUGUGGUUUAA